ACCAGUGGCGGCUCUAGACUUGGCGAGGCCUUAGGCGAAACUCAUACAUGAGGCCCCCACUAACACCAUUAUUGGAAAAAAACAGCAGUUGACUUGUGUGUGUAUAAGAAGCUGUAGAUAGAUUGAAGGGCGGGCUUGCAGUAUUGGAUAUAGAGAACUAGUCUUUGUAUACGUCGUUGCAUUGUCUACCUGUGUGUGCCUGGCAGUGAGUAUCUUUGUAUAUGUAUGCAUGUUUCUCU